rnacentral:rRNA from 1 species
GGGGAAUUAGGGUUCGAUUCCGGAGAGGGAGCCUGAGAAACGGCUACCACAUCUAAGGAAGGCAGCAGGCGCGCAAAUUACCCAAUCCUAAUACAGGGAGGUAGUGACAAGAAAUAACAAUACAGGACUUUUUGGUUUUGUAAUUGGAAUGAGUUAAGUAUAAACCCCUUUACAAGUAUCAAUUGGAGGGCAAGUCUGGUGCCAGCAGCCGCGGUAAUUCCAGCUCCAAUAGCGUAUAUUAAAGUUGUUGCAGUUAAAAAGCUMGUAGUUGGAUUCUGUUAAUAAUUUAUAUAAAAUAUUUUGAAUAUUUAUAUAACAUUAACAUAAUUCAUAUUACUAUAUUUUUAGUAUAUGAAAUUUUACUUUGAGAAAAUUAGAGUGCUUAAAGCAGGCAUAUGCCUUGAAUACUCCAGCAUGGAAUAAUAUUAAAGAUUUUUAUCUUUCUUAUUGGUUCUAAGAUAAGAAUAAUGAUKAAUAGGGACAGUUGGGGGCAUUUGUAUUUAACAGUCAGAGGUGAAAUUCUUAGAUUUGUUAAAGACAAACUAAUGCGAAAGCU